UCUGUUUGGUAGGGGCAGGGCAUCCUCCUUAUCAAAGGAUCCCAAUGCCAACAGGAGUAAUGAGGGUUGACUGUGCAAAACAAAGGACCAGGUGUGAUACUAGAAAGAAAAAGCAAGGACAUCUCCUGACUGAAAAGAAUGCCAUAGAAGAUUUAUAUGUUACUGCAGUACUGCCUGGCGGGCUCUGGCACUUUGUAUUUAGUAUCUGGAGAGGAACUGCUUUAUGACUGAUUAAAAUAGCUUUUAAGAGAAGUCUCUGAAGAGAAAGCAUGCAGACUGUUCAGCAGAGUAUUUUCUUGUACACGAUGACCAUCAUUUCCUCAGCCCACCUGGCCUCCAGGGCUCCUCACAGCAAACCUGAAUCUACUCUGCCAGUCUCAAGUCUCUCGUGCCGUGCACCCAGUUGCCUUUGUUUGCUCCAGAUCUACAUCCCCCGAAAUAGCCCCUGAAAACAUACAGCCUUUAAAUAACUCUGCAACAUAAUUGCAAGCCCCAGUGCUCCUGCCUGCCCUGCUCCUUGUUGGGGCAGUGGGAUAAAUCCAGCUGCCAA